UGGAUCGAUGAUGACAGCUGGUGGGGUAUGAGGCACGGAUGCUGAUUGAUGGUCUGCAAGUCUGAGGUCCAG
ensembl:snoRNA